rnacentral:tRNA from 1 species
GGAGGUAUAGCUCAGAGGUACAGUGCAUGCUUAGCAUGCACAAUGUCCUGGGUUCAAUCCCCAGUAUCUCCG